AACACGUGAGUAACCUGCCCCGGACUCUGGAAUAAGCGCUGGAAACGGCGUCUAAUACCGGAUACGAGACGCAACCGCAUGGUUAGUGUCUGGAAAGUUUUUCGGUCUGGGAUGGACUCGCGGCCUAUCAGCUUGUUGGUGAGGUAAUGGCUCACCAAGGCGACGACGGGUAGCCGGCCUGAGAGGGCGACCGGCCACACUGGGACUGAGACACGGCCCAGACUCCUACGGGAGGCAGCAGUGGGGAAUAUUGCACAAUGGGCGAAAGCCUGAUGCAGCGACGCCGCGUGAGGGAUGACGGCCUUCGGGUUGUAAACCUCUUUCAGCAGGGAAGAAGCGAAAGUGACGGUACCUGCAGAAGAAGCACCGGCUAACUACGUGCCAGCAGCCGCGGUAAUACGUAGGGUGCGAGCGUUGUCCGGAAUUAUUGGGCGUAAAGAGCUUGUAGGCGGUUUGUCGCGUCUGCUGUGAAAAUCCGGGGCUCAACCCCGGACUUGCAGUGGGUACGGGCAGACUAGAGUGUGGUAGGGGAGACUGGAAUUCCUGGUGUAGCGGUGAAAUGCGCAGAUAUCAGGAGGAACACCGAUGGCGAAGGCAGGUCUCUGGGCCACUACUGACGCUGAGAAGCGAAAGCAUGGGGAGCGAACAGGAUUAGAUACCCUGGUAGUCCAUGCCGUAAACGUUGGGCGCUAGGUGUGGGACUCAUUCCACGAGUUCCGUGCCGCAGCUAACGCAUUAAGCGCCCCGCCUGGGGAGUACGGCCGCAAGGCUAAAACUCAAAGGAAUUGACGGGGGCCCGCACAAGCGGCGGAGCAUGCGGAUUAAUUCGAUGCAACGCGAAGAACCUUACCAAGGCUUGACAUAUACCGGAAACAUCCAGAGAUGGGUGCCCCUUUUGGUCGGUAUACAGGUGGUGCAUGGUUGUCGUCAGCUCGUGUCGUGAGAUGUUGGGUUAAGUCCCGCAACGAGCGCAACCCUCGUUCUAUGUUGCCAGCACGUGAUGGUGGGGACUCAUAGGAGACUGCCGGGGUCAACUCGGAGGAAGGUGGGGAUGACGUCAAAUCAUCAUGCCCCUUAUGUCUUGGGCUUCACGCAUGCUACAAUGGCCGGUACAAAGGGCUGCGAUACCGCAAGGUGGAGCGAAUCCCAAAAAACCGGUCUCAGUUCGGAUUGGGGUCUGCAACUCGACCCCA
rnacentral:rRNA from 1 species